UCCUACAGAGGAGCAAGACAGACUGCAAAAUUAAAAAGCACCAGGAGCUUGGUGGCACAAAUCUGUAAUCCCGGCACUGAGGAGGCAGAGGCAGGUGGAUCUCUGUGAGUUUGAGGCCAGCCUGGGCUACAGAGUGAGUUCCAGGAGGACAGCCAGGGCUACACAGAAAAACCCUGUCUCAAAAAACAAACAAACAAACGAAUGAAUGAAUGAAUGAAUGAAUGAAUGAAUGAAUGAAUAAAUGGCCCCACGAAUAUUUUUUGUUGUUGUUUUCGCAGCUAUCCUUAUUGCUUCUGUCUCUGUUGUUACUGACCAAAUCCAGAGAACUACACACCUUAACACAAAACCACCUAGGCGCCAUGUCAAAAGAAUGAAUCAACACAGGUUCUAGUAAAAGUGACUUUCAGCGGCUGGAGAGAGGGCUCAGCAGUCACGAGUACUUGCCGUUCUUGCAGAGGACUCAGCCACAUGGUGGCUUAUAGCCACGUGUAACUUCUUAGAGGGGAUUUGACAAUCGGCCUCUGCAGGCACAAUGUAUGCUUGUGGUGCAAAACAGUCGCCCACCAUGUUCUGCCUCCAGUACAGUGGAGUUCUGGGGAAGCGUGUACUGUGAAGUUUGUGCAUACCUUGAUAUUGUUGGAAUCUGUGAGAAACAUAGUGACUCGGUCGAUACCCAUGCCCCAGCCGGCUGUUGGGGGCAGCCCAUAUUCCAGGGCAGUGCAGAAGUUCUCAUCUAUGAACAUGGCUUCAUCGUCACCAGCAGCCUUGGCCUAGAAUAAAUAAAGUCAAAUGUAAUAA